rnacentral:rRNA from 1 species
AGAUGGAUCUUUCUCGUAAGAGACCUCCCACACAGGUGCUGCAUGGCUGUCGUCAGCUCGUGUCGUGAGAUGUUCGGUUAAGUCCGGCAACGAGCGCAACCCACACUCUUAGUUGCCAGCAUUCAGUUGGGCACUCUAGGAGAACUGCCGGUGAUAAGCCGGAGGAAGGUGUGGAUGACGUCAAGUCCUCAUGGCCUUUAUGUCCAGGGCUACACACGUGCUACAAUGGCCGGUACAAACCGUCGCAAACCCGCGAGGGGGAGCUAAUCGGAAAAAGCCGGCCUCAGUUCGGAUUGCAGUCUGCAACUCGACUGCAUGAAGCUGGAAUCGCUAGUAAUCGCGGAUCAGCAUGUCGCGGUGAAUACGUUCCCGGGUCUUGUACACACCGCCCGUCACACCAUGGGAGUGGGUUUCACCAGAAGCCGGUCACCUAACCGCAAGGAGGGCGCCGACCACGGUGAGAUUCAUGACUGGGGUGAAGUCGUAACAAGGUAGCCGUAA